rnacentral:lncRNA from 10 species
GGCCAGGACAGGGGAGGAGAAGCCUGCACCUGAGGCCCAGGUACAGCUGAGCACAUGUAGAGGGAGGUCAGGGAGCCAUGGGCUUAGGGCAGGCAGAGGGACCAUCUGGUAAUGAAAGGGCUGGUCUGGGGGAAUGCAGAGAAGGCAGAAGGUGCUGCAGACAGUUCUGCCAGGUCCUGGGCUUGAAGCCUACUCUCCCCUGCUCUCCCCCGACUCUCCCCUGCUGUCCCCUGCUCUCCUGCCAUCCCACCACCGGUGCUUCAACUGAUGGGGUAGCUCCUGUCACUAGAGUGCGUACCUGAGUUUUGUGGAGCUUUCAGACUCUCUGCAAUUGGUCUCCUGAGCUGAAGUCCCCACUUCUCCCCU